rnacentral:RNase_P_RNA from 1 species
CUAGGAAGUCGGAUGAUACCCUGAAGUAUGCGCAAGCUUAACUUCAGGGAGGAAAGUCCAGACAGCAUAGAGCAGGGUGUCCGGUGUAAGCCGGAGGUCGUAAGACCCAGUUAGAGUAACAGUGACGAAUCCUGAGAGUAAUCGAAGGAGUGAAACGCCGAAAUCGCAAGAAAGUAGGUCCCGCGGAGCCCAUAAGGGCGAAGUGGGAGGCAAUCCUCCCCGCUGCAAUCCUAGAUUGAGUUGGUUUGCUCGGCCAAUAACUCAAAUCAGGAGCACCAGUUAAAACCUGGUCAGUGUGACUUUAAAAAUCAUAUUGAAGAUAGAUUUCAUCAAUCUUUCAGUUUAUGGAGAUAAUCUGGAAGAGUAACAGAAUCUGGCUUACACGCUUCCUAGGCAC